rnacentral:rRNA from 1 species
AAGGAAAACCUACAAUGCAGUCGAGGGAGAUCAGGGGAGCGAAGCUUGCUUUGCUCCGCCGGCGACCGGCGCACGGGUGACCUUUUCGUAUGCAACCUGCCCGUUUCAGCGGGAUAACCCGGACCAUUCCGGCCUAAUACCGCAUGUGGCCGAGGGGAGGCAUCUUCUUUCGGCCAAAGGAGGCGACUCCGGAGACGGAUGGGCAUGCGUGACAUUAGCUUGUUGGCGGGGUAACGGCCCACCAAGGCGACGAUGUCUAGGGGUUCUGAGAGGAAGGUCCCCCACACUGGUACUGAGACACGGACCAGACUCCUACGGGAGGCAUCAGUGAGGAGUAUUGGUCAAUGGGCGAGAGCCUGAACCUGCCAAGUCGCGUGAAUGAUGACGGCCCUACGGGUUGUAAACUUCUUUUGUCAGGGAGCAAUUGGGUCCACGUGUGGCAUAGCGAGAGUACCUGAAGAAACAGCAUCGGCUAACUCCGUGCCCGCAGCCGCGGUAAUACUGAUGAUGCGAUCGUUAUCCGGAUUUAUUGGGUUUAGCGGGUCGCGCACGCGGAAUAUUAAGUCCACGACAAAAAUUCUGGGCUCAACCCUUGUCUUGCCACUGACCAAGAAGUUCUAGAAUGAGCAAAAACUACCCGUAAUGCUUGGUGUAACGGUGAACAUGCAUAAAUAUUACAUAUAAAACACCAAUCGCGUAGGCAUAUUUAUCGGGCUCCACGUUCUCAGACGCAAACAUAGUUGAGAUUCC